ensembl:lncRNA
GGAGAAGCUGCUGCGAGUUUGCUGCAGACAGAGGAGAGCUUAAGUUCGACCAGUUAUGUACUGAUGAACAGAACAAUGGACAUAAGGAGCUUCUUUCAAAGACAAAAACUCAGCACAGAGAGGGAGAGAGAGGAACAGAGAGGAGAAUGAGGACAGAACAGAGAUGGAACAAGAGCCAGAUAGGUCAGGGGAAAUCAGGAAAGCGACAGAAAACCAAAACACAACAGCAUCACAGCAGGAAGCAGCAGGUGGAUCGUUAAGGACAGCUGAAGGAGGUUUACUGGAAGGAGCAGCAGGAGAUGAUUUAGGAACUCUAGGAAGUGGUCCAAGACAAACUGUCCUCACACAGUUUCCACUGAGCCAGUUUGGAGGCCAGCAGAGGGCGUUCAAUAAGAGUUGAACAGUUUAAAUGUUCGCAGAAGUCGAGUCUACGGUAGUGCAGAGUCUACACUGUCUGUAGACCGUUACGUCUUUUCAUUGGCCCGGAGUCUACGGUGAACAUAGACACUGUAGACUCAGGUCAAUAGGAGCACCGAAUCCCACUGUAGACGACCAAUCGUCUGGUCAACGGAAGUUGCGUCACCAAAACAACAAAAUGCAGCGGAACAGCGAGGAAGCCGGCAAGUCCACUAUUUUUUAUGGAAACUGACAUUUCUUUUAUGUUUACGUCCUGGUAUGGCGACACCAACGAUUUGGGUAGUUAAUCCAGAUGCCCCUGCACAUCAUCAGCUGGCACUACUUAUGGCAACCAAAGAGCAACAGCUGACAAGUACCCCCAGGUGUGAUCCUUCAUUGUGGCCAGGUGAUGAUGCUGAACUGAUAGCUGCAUCCCAGUCUGUGGAAGAUUCACUGAAGUCCCAACACUCCUUGUCUGCAAGUCAACCUCUAAAGCAACGGCUGACAAGCAGAGGUGCUUCCUCCUCCCAGACGUCUGGAACACAGGAGAACUCAGCUCCCCUGUCCAAGGAGUUUGAGAACACUGUACAGUCACAUCAAAAUAAAGCUACUGUGCAGCCCAAACAUCGUGAGUCCACAGAGACUGCCGUACGGUCCAAAAAACUUGACACCAUUGGACUCACUGAGUCAUCUGCAUCCCAGGGUCAUGAUCAUACAACACAAUUACCGUUGAGUCAUUCACCUGUGGAGACUAAGGGAUGGGUGCGUCUCUGGGAAAAUCCCAAUGGUAUCCCAUCUGCUGACAUUUCCUGGCUUAAAGAGGACACUGAAAGAGGGCUGUUUACCCCUGUUCAGACAUACAAGGAUGUUACUGGUGUGUUAAAGAGGCGACGGGUGAUUAAAUCAGAUCGCAUGUGGUUUUACCCACCAGAACCUCCUGGCGUUGCGGUUGUUGUUGUUGUUGUUUUUUCCCGUACUCUUUACAACACAAUGAUCACGACAUUAUACUUCUUCUUCUAUCUUUUACAAAACCUUACAUUACAGUCAGAAUCAAGUUCACUGAUUGAUUGCAGUGCUGUCUUUGUGUUUUACUGAUUGAUUGCAGUGUUGUCUUUGUGUUUCACUGUUUCAUUCAUUUUAAUAAAGUGUUUUGUAUUACAGUAACAGUGAGUUGUGGAAUAACUUAAUGAAUGAAUGACUUAGACUUACUGAGCUUCUUUGAAUCAGCAUCACUAUAGCCCGAAAGGCACUGACAAAACAUACAAGCAUAAAUAAAUACAAUCUAUAGAAAG